rnacentral:lncRNA from 1 species
UUGGUUACAAGUAGGAGUCUUGAGUAGGAGUCCUAUUAGGAGUUAGGGUUUAGAAGCCCUAUAAAUAGUCAUGUAUUCCUCCUCUUUUGAUAAGCAAUAGAUGAAUCUUUUUUGCAGCCUUUGAGCAACAACUUGGAGGGAGGAACCCCUAUAGAGUUCCAAGGAAGCCGAUCCCCUAAAGAGAUCAACCCCAAGUUUAGAAUCUGCAAGGGUUCUAACACCUGGUA